CAAAGAAAAAAGGAAAGAUGAUACUAACAAGAUCUUAUUCAGAUUAUUGUUUGAUGGAGUGCGGCGGGAUGUCAUCUUUUCUUUCUUUCUUUCUCUCUUUCUUUCUUUCUUUCUUUC
rnacentral:ribozyme from 14 species